CUUGCAAAAUGUUCAUCAUCAUGAAGACCCCCUUUUCCCCAAAUGUCUGCAUCCUGAACGAGCGUCGAGGGACCCCAACAAAUGGCUACAACCUGGGUCAGUUGCACUUCACAAAGCUGAGAAACUACUGCUUAACAAACGAGUCCUGAAGGAUGUAGCAAAACUCAGCCAUCAUCACCAGACGUCAUCGCUGGAGUCAUUCCACAGUCUGAUACUGCGUUUUGCUCCAAAGAAUGUGGUUUUUCCCUUCAUGGGAAUGUUGUGCAGGUUGUAUCUUGCAUCAAUGCACCACAACGAAAAUGCUUCACGGGUGCAAGCUACGACUUCUGCAGGGCAGGCUGUUUAUAAAGUUGUCUAUCCAAAGGCGAAGAUGGGGGAAGGUGUUGUGAAGCCCGUGAAAACAGAUCCAACAUUCAACUAUGUACAUGACCUCAUGAGGCUGCUCAUGGAGGUUUUUGAGGACCCAACAUCAUUUGACGAGGAAAUGAAGACUAUCCCCAUCCCUCCAGACCUUUCAGCAGAAAAUACACGCACUCCGAAGGCUGAGCUGGUUGCCCGUCACGUCUCCCGCUUCAAUCUAGAGGUGGUCUGAAGCCUACGUAGUCACCAGAUGGGAACUGCUGCCGUAUCCGCUGCACCACACAUGACGGGAGGACGACCCGACAACUAUGUCCUAAAUAUCCCCAGCACCAGCUUACAAAGCUGCGAUAGGCAAGAUGCCUGAAACGCCUAAGGGAAAAAGAGCAGAACUUUCGGACCACCUGUUUUCAACAAUAACCUCUUAUAGGCUGGGCCUACACUGGGCCUUACUGUGCACCCCCCACCUCCCAACGAAACCAACUAUUUUUUAAUGGUCUGACCAUGC